rnacentral:rRNA from 1 species
UACGAAGGGGGCUAGCGUUGCUCGGAAUUACUGGGCGUAAAGGGCGCGUAGGCGGACAGUUUAGUCAGAGGUGAAAGCCCAGGGCUCAACCUUGGAAUUGCCUUUGAUACUGGCUGUCUCGAGACCGGGAGAGGUGAGUGGAAUUCCGAGUGUAGAGGUGAAAUUCGUAGAUAUUCGGAAGAACACCAGUGGCGAAGGCGGCUCACUGGCCCGGUUCUGACGCUGAGGUGCGAAAGCGUGGGGAGCAAACAGG